UGGGGAAUAUUGCACAAUGGGCGAAAGCCUGAUGCAGCAACGCCGCGUGAGGGAAGACGGUUUUCGGAUUGUAAACCUCUGUCUUUGGUGAAGAAAAAAAUGACGGUAGCCAAGGAGGAAGCUCCGGCUAACUACGUGCCAGCAGCCGCGGUAAUACGUAGGGAGCAAGCGUUGUCCGGAAUUACUGGGUGUAAAGGGAGCGUAGGCGGGAGUGCAAGUCAGCUGUGAAAUGCAUGGGCUUAACCCAUGAACUGCAGUUGAAACUGUGUUUCUUGAGUGAAGUAGAGGUAGGCGGAAUUCCGAGUGUAGCGGUGAAAUGCGUAGAUAUUCGGAGGAACACCAGUGGCGAAGGCGGCCUACUGGGCUUUAACUGACGCUGAGGCUCGAAAGUGUGGGGAGCAAACA
rnacentral:rRNA from 1 species